GAUGAACGCUGGCGGCGUGCCUAACACAUGCAAGUCGAACGGAGUCCAGCCUUAGAGACCUUCGGGUCAAAGAGGGGAAGACUGAGUGGCGGACGGGUGAGUAACACGUGGGCAACCUGGCUCAUAGAGGGGGAUAACAGAGAGAAAUUUCUGCUAAUACCGCAUAAGCACACACUGCCGCAUGGCAGAGUGUGAAAAGAGAAUCGCUAUGAGAUGGACCCGCGUCUGAUUAGCCAGUUGGCAGGGUAAGAGCCUACCAAAGCGACGAUCAGUAGCCGAUUUGAGAGGAUGAACGGCCACAUUGGGACUGAGACACGGCGCAAACUCCUACGGGAGGCAGCAGUGGGGGAUAUUGCACAAUGGGGGGAACCCUGAUGCAGCGACGCCGCGUGAGUGAAGAAGUAUUUCGGUAUGUAUAGCUCUAUCAGCAGGGAAGAUAAUGACAGUACCUGAAUAAGAAGCCCCGGCUAACUACGUG
rnacentral:rRNA from 1 species